rnacentral:misc_RNA from 1 species
CAAUUUUUGUUUCCAAGUCCUACUAAUUUGCUGAUUUCAGCGAUGUCUGUUGUGAGCGUAGUGUCAUUAGCGAGUACUGGAUUCAAAGAGAUUAGAGGAAAGCACCUUCACUAUUCAAAAUUCUGGAAUGUUAACGACUCUGUUUCUAACAAAAUCAAACUUUCCAGUAGAAAUGGGAUGUUCUUGCUUUAUACUCCUGCUUUUCUUGCUGGUUUUUCCUCCUUUUGGCUUUUCCCCGAUGAAGGUCUUAGGUUUUUCUAUGUCAAAUCUGCUCUUACCAUUCAUUUCUUCAAGAGAAUAUUUGAGGUGCUAUUCAUUCACAAAUAUAGUGCUUCUAUGAUUCUUGAUACCGCAAUUCCUGUUACUCUUAGUUAUUUCAUAUCUACUGUAACAAUGAUCUAUGCUCAGCACCUAACACAAGGAUAUCCUGAACCACCAAUUGAAUUGACUUAUCCUGGGAUUGUGCUCUUUCUUAUAGGAAUCAUUGGUAACUUCUAUCACCAUUACCUCCUUUCCAAGCUGAGAAGCAAGAAUGAUAAGGAAUAUAAGAUUCCUAGGGGUGGUUUAUUUGAUCUAGUGACAUGUCCUCACUAUUUGUUUGAGAUUUUAGGUUUCUGGGGAGUUUCUUUCAUUUCACAAACUUUGUAUUCCUUUUCUUUUGCUUUUGGAACCACAAUAUACUUGUUGGGAAGGAGUUAUGCCACUAGGAGAUGGUACCUUUCCAAGUUUGAAGAUUUUCCCAAGAAUGUAAAAGCCCUCGUUCCAUUUGUUUUCUGAUGCUCAGGUGGAUUUGAAGGGUGCAGAUCCAAUUUGUUUUACCUUAAUGUUGUUGGUAUAGGUACAUUACAGCCAGUCGAUUGGAUGCAUCAACUGACUAUCAAUAUAUUAAAUUAUUAAAAACAAGGAAUUUUUAU